rnacentral:rRNA from 1 species
UGGGGAAUUUUGGACAAUGGGCGCAAGCCUGAUCCAGCAAUGCCGCGUGCAGGAUGAAGGCCUUCGGGUUGUAAACUGCUUUUGUACGGAACGAAACGGCUCUUUCUAAUAAAGAGGGCUAAUGACGGUAUCGUAAGAAUAAGCACCGGCUAACUACGUGCCAGCAGCCGCGGUAAUACGUAAGGUGCAAGCGUUAAUCGGAAUUACUGGGCGUAAAGCGUGCGCAGGCGGUUUUGUAAGUCUGAUGUGAAAUCCCCGGGCUCAACCUGGGAAUUGCCUUUGUGACUGCAAGGCUGGAGUGCGGAAGAGGGGGAUGGAAUUCCGCGUGUAGCAGUGAAAUGCGUAGAUAUGCGGAGGAACACCGAUGGCGAAGGCAAUCCCCUGGGCCUGCACUGACGCUCAUGCACGAAAGCGUGGGGAGCAAACA